UUAAGCAUAUCAAUAAGCGGAGGAAAAGAAACUAACAAGGAUUCCCCUAGUAACGGCGAGUGAAGCGGGAAGAGCUCAAAUUUGAAAUCUGGUAGCCUUCGGUUGCCCGAGUUGUAAUCUAGAGAAGUGUUUUCCGUGCCGGCCCAUGUACAAGUCCCUUGGAACAGGGCGUCAUAGAGGGUGAGAAUCCCGUCCUUGACAUGGACCCCCGGUGCUUUGUGAUACACUUUCAACGAGUCGAGUUGUUUGGGAAUGCAGCUCAAAAUGGGUGGUGAAUUCCAUCUAAAGCUAAAUAUUGGCGAGAGACCGAUAGCGAACAAGUACCGUGAGGGAAAGAUGAAAAGCACUUUGGAAAGAGAGUUAAACAGUACGUGAAAUUGUUGAAAGGGAAACGAUUGAAGUCAGUCAUGCUCUUAGGAUUCAGCCGUUCUGCGGUGUAUUUCCUUUGAGUGGGGUCAACAUCAGUUUUGAUCGAUGGAUAAAGGCACGAGGAAGGUAGCACUCUCGGGUGAACUUAUAGCCUCGCGUCAUAUACAUUGAUUGGGACUGAGGAACGCAGCAUGCCUUUAUGGCCGGGAUUCGUCCACGUACAUGCUUAGGAUGUUGACA
rnacentral:rRNA from 1 species